GCUGGGUGCAGUGGCACACACCUGUAAUCUCAGCAGCUCAGGAGGCUGAGGCAGGAGGAUUGCCAGUUCAAAGCCAGCCUCAGCAACAGCGAGGCACUAAGCAACUCCGUGAGACCCUGUCUCUA
rnacentral:sRNA from 1 species